GGCUCGAUGGCGGACGGUCCGCGCCUGCGGCUCAUAAGGGAUGGUGAAGAAAAACCAUGCAGGACACGCCCGUUCGACUCGGGCUCGAGCCA